UUGGCAUUUCACUUUCCCUGAAUUUUUUGGC
rnacentral:piRNA from 1 species